CAGUGAAAUAUUGAGCAGCUAUGCUGCUCAAUGUGAAAUAUUCGGCUUACGCCGAAUGUGAAAUAUCGGUCUGCGACCGAUGUGAAAUAUGAG
rnacentral:misc_RNA from 1 species